GAUUUUUAGAGCUCUACCUGAUUCCUACACUCGUUUUCACCCUAAGACAGGUAUACUCCGCGAAUCUCCACAUUCUGAAACACUACAAGAAAUAUAAGUAUUGAUAGCACAUCACGGUAGUACGAAUUCACAAACUGCUACUAAAAAUGGGUAGUUUGGUUGUUUAACUCUAUUAUAGCAUUAAAUCAACGCUACUUAGUAUUUUGCAGGAUUUUUACGAAGCGGGAAGACAAAAAUCCAAUUUUUAUACUUGUAAAAUUCAUUGGUGCCAAAUACUUAGUAAAAAUAUCACUUUUGCCACCAAAAUAUUUUGUUUUAGUAGAACUAUUUUUUUUUCUAGGUCUUUUCAUUUUUUUUUCUUCAGAAGAAAAAAAACCUCAAUUCUCUAUUUUAUCUUCUUCUCCAUUCGUGACAAAAAAGAAUAAACUUCUCUCCAUUGAUUCAAUCGAGCUUCUUCAUCAUCCAUCUUCAUCUAUUAUGGGUCAUCUGUUUCUCUAAGUUUCCCUUUAAUCGAUUUACUGAAUUCGAAUCAGUGAAACUAAAUCUAGGGAUUGAAGAGUAUUAACAGAGGAGGAGACGGAGCCAUGGCGGAGAUGCUGACGGAGUUUCAGUGACGGUAACAUCGGCUGCCUUUCUGCAAGCCCGGUAACAUCUCUUUUAUGUUUAUAAGCUAAAGCUUGAACCUUUGAGGCUUUCCAUAGUUUUUCUCCCUUAGAUUUGGUCUCAGAUUUUCUUUUAGCUACUCUGUUUCUUUUGUAGAAGAAGCAGACAUUUCUGGUGCUUCUGGUUCCAAGGAGAUUUUCUAGGGUUUGUGAUUUCUGAUCUUUGUUUCCAGAGCAACCCGAGCUUGAAGAUGGUUUUGACGAUGAGAUUAAGGAAAUCGUUGUGAAGUUUAAUUUCAGGUAACCUGUUGCUUCUGAGCUAAGACUCUUUUCUUUUGGCUCUUGUGUUGAAGAUGGCUUAAAAAAUCGAGUGUUGACCCUCUAAGCAUGAACACAGUCUCAGGCUUAUGAUGUUUGUAUCUGAGUGGAAUUUGGAUUUGUUUGCAAGAGGUAGAUCGAUAACUGGUUUUGGGCUAUGUAGAUAGAUGAAUCCAGCGUAUAAUCUCAAAAGGCCGAAGCAUUUGGCAUUGCUUUUCAUUGUGUUCGUCUCUGUUUCUAUGGACGUUUGGGAUCGUAUAUAUCUUGCCCAAGAAAAUGAGUUAUGUUUUGUAUGAAUAUCUCUGUCUAAGAAACAGUUUUAGUAUCAUUGUAAGCAUUAGUUUAUGCUGAUUUUUUAUGUUAGGGAGCGUGAGCGUAAAGCUGUUCGGUUCAUUGAUGAUGGCCAAAGUUCGUUCCUUUAGUUUAGAACAAUUUUAAAGCUCAUGUCUGAACAAAUUUUAAAGCCUUUAAAAUUUGUUCAGACACAAGACCUGUUGCUGUUUGGUGAGUUACUUGCAUCUGAGGAGCUUGUCUUGUGUCUGAAUCGCCUUUUGCUGUGACUGGACUGUAUUGAAACUGCAGUUUGAUAGCUUGUGAUGACUGAACCCAUCUUAAAGGCUGCUAGGUAUUGAUUCAGUUGGAAUGGUGUAGAGCCUGAUGAGUGACAAAGCUUCAAGGGUUGCGAGUGCCAGAGUACAGAGUGACGAAGCUUCAAGGGUUGCGAGUGCCAGAGUACAGAAAAUGGAAUCCUUGCUCCAGAGCAUCUCCACUGCCGGGUCUCGGUGUCGGGCUGAGAUUGUGAAGGCUGCGACCGUGCAUUCGGAUUCUUAUCGUCAUCCUCUCGGUUUGUCCUGACUUCAAAUGUACUUGAGAAGAAGAACACGUUGGGGAUUGUAUGAUCACUUUCUUCUUUGUGCUUGCUUCUAGUGUUGUUGUAUUGGCAGUGCGUUAGUCUCAAAGCAACUUUCCAUGAGAGGAAGACCACAAAGACUUGCAUUCACUUCAAAGAAUGAUUUAGGUUUCUUUGAUUUUAAUUUUGAUAUGUUAAAGCUUGUUGAGACAUUGGUUCGUAGAUGAAGUUCCUAGACUUAGCAAAUGAAAUAAUUUAUGUUUUGAAAAAUUAAUGAAAUAUAAUUUCUUAUAUAUAGAUCAAAUUGCAAUGUUUUGAUUUACAUUUUGCACUACAAUUUAUGUGACAAUUAACAUUUCAACAAUAAUAAAUUUGAAAAAAAAAAGAAUUUUUUAUUUCAAAUUCUAUACCCUAAACAUGCCCUAAGUCCUAAAUUGUGAAUAUUUCAUCAUAAAAUCCUAAGAUAGCACAACUAGUAAUAUGAUAAAAAGAAAAUCUAAUACUGAUAAUAAAUUAGAAAAAAAAAAAAUUCACCUCAUCUAAACCCUAAACAUGCCUUAAAUUUCAACAUCCAACACUUAUAGUAGAUUUCAAAAUGAACAUUUGUAAUUAUCAAACUUUAAAAAAUUUUAACUUUAUAACUUUAUAAUUUAUUUUUUUAAUCUUGAUUAUAAAAUUUAACUCCAAAACACUAAGUAUGUUUUAACCCCUAAACUCAAAACAUAACUAAAACUCUAAUUUGUGUUACAAAAAAAUAAAUAAUUAAAACUCUAUUUUUUUCAGACCAUAACCUAUAAUAUUAAAAUUAAACUUAAAAUUUAGUCUUUUAUUGUUAAGUUAUAACUUACAAACAUAAACCUUAAAUCUUCAAUCAAACUCCAUACCCUAAACCCUAACUCCUAAUAUAAACCAUAUUUUCACUUAAUAAAAACCUGAAAUCUAAAUUUUAAUUCUUUAAAAGAAAAAACUUUAUACAAGUGUGUUAUCGUAAAAAAAAGAAAUGUUAUAGAAACUAAAAAUUUAAAUAAAUAAAUAACAAAACACAAUUGACAAAAAAAAAAUAACAAAACACAAACAACAUAAAUGUUUUUUUGGUUAAUAAACACACAAAGGGACUGAAAAUAUGAACCACUAAUACAAAAGUGCGCGGAUCACCAUCUUAACCGUUGAUAUACUUUAAUCCAAUGGUCAGAUUUAACCCUUUUGUGUUUAUUCUCUUGUCCCUCUCUAUCCUCUGUCGUAACUUUUUCUCCUCUAUCUCCCAGUUUUUUUUAUUCUUCCUCUGUCAACCUCUACCACCGAUUUUCCUGAUUUCUUCCAUCUUCAUCCUCUUAUCUCACUGAUUUCUCUUUUCCAUCUCUCUCCCCUGUCGAACUCAUGAAUUUUGUGGCUUUUGUUUAGGGGUUUCACUAAGCUUAACAAAGCAGACUUUACUAAGUUGAGGCAAGAGAAGCGUGUUGCUCCUACGUCCAUCUUCUCCGACUCCCUCUUUCUCUCUCCCACGGCUUCAUGUCUCUCCAUCUCCAUACUGGCUAUGUCAAUGGUAGAAGAAUUGAACGUGUGAAGAAGAACCAGAGGAGGUAUGCGACUGGCGUAAGCGAAUAGAGGUUGUGGAGGCUGGAGUAAGAGAACAAAGGCUUGAGGCGGAUGCUCUAGAGGCUGGAGGCGCUGCAUGCGGAGGCUGGAGGCGGACGCUCUGGUAGCGGCGGCUUAUGUUUAGGUUAAGCUUAAUUAUGUUUUGGUUAGUUAAUUAGUUUUAAACCCGGUUUGUAUGUAAACUGGUUUAAUUUAUAAACUGAAAACAUUUGUAAUCUUCUGGUUUAAUUUGUAAACCGAAAUCAGGUGUAAACCAAAUUUUUAAUAUCAACCGAAAUCAUUUGCAAA